rnacentral:misc_RNA from 1 species
UAUGGAGUUAAUACUUUAUAGUAAUUAACUAGUUUUAAUGACCGUUAUGUUUAGUUUUCAGAGAUUAGUUUCUCUGACAAUAACAAGUAAAUGUUAUUGGAAUUGUUCUUUGAAAACUGGAUAAUAGACAUCUAGUUAUUUUAAUCACAUGAUUAAAAUAACAAUAAUUCAAAAUUUCUGUUAUUUUUAAAAAAUAACUAAAAUUUCACAGUUAUAUUUGUAAAUGAUUCUCAAAAAACUGAUUUAAAAUCAGGUCAAAUAAUUUAUAAAACUUUGAAGUUACAAAGGGCGUAUGGUGAAUGCCUUGGG